rnacentral:rRNA from 1 species
AACGAACGCUGGCGGCAUGCCUAACACAUGCAAGUCGAACGAGACCUUCGGGUCUAGUGGCGCACGGGUGCGUAACGCGUGGGAACCUGCCCUUAGGUUCGGAAUAACUCCCCGAAAGGGGUGCUAAUACCGGAUAAUGUCUUCGGACCAAAGAUUUAUCGCCUUUGGAUGGGCCCGCGUUGGAUUAGCUAGUUGGUAGGGUAAAAGCCUACCAAGGCGACGACCCAUAGCUGGUCUGAGAGGAUGAUCAGCCACACUGGGACUGAGACACGGCCCAGACUCCUACGGGAGGCAGCAGUGGGGAAUAUUGGACAAUGGGCGAAAGCCUGAUCCAGCACUGCCGCGUGAGUGAUGAAGGCCUUAGGGUUGUAAAGCUCUUUUACCCGGGAUGAUAAUGACAGUACCGGGAGAAUAAGCUCCGGCUAACUCCGUG